rnacentral:rRNA from 1 species
UACAGAGGGGGCAAGCGUUGUUCGGAAUUACUGGGCGUAAAGGGCUCGUAGGCGGCCAACUAAGUCAGACGUGAAAUCCCUCGGCUUAACCGGGGAACUGCGUCUGAUACUGGAUGGCUUGAGGUUGGGAGAGGGAUGCGGAAUUCCAGGUGUAGCGGUGAAAUGCGUAGAUAUCUGGAGGAACACCGGUGGCGAAGGCGGCAUCCUGGACCAAUUCUGACGCUGAGGAGCGAAAGCCAGGGGAGCAAACGGG